CCUGCAGGACACCGGCCCUCGAGGCCUGGAGUUGGAGACCCCUGAUUUAAAUAAAUGUGAGUUUUUGAAAAAUUGUACUUCUAAAAGUACUUUUAUUGCACCAUGUUCAUUUACUUAUGAGCUGCUUUAACAUGAAUCAAAUGGCUGAGGCUACGUCUACACUAGCCCGGAUAAAUUUGAAAACUGUUUGCGUCUGAAAACACUGCAUCCACACUGUUGUUUUCACAGAGUUGUGCGUCCACAUUGAAACGGCCGAAAACGCUUACGUUCUAGUACUGCGCAUGCGUGAAAUGCAAGACAAUUUGACCUACCUCAUUUCUGUCUGCUGUUUAUUUACUUUCCGGCUCUUUGAAACGUCACGGCAAAAUGUCAAGUUUUUUAAAUGGACUAACAAUGAGGUGGAGUUGUUGCUGCAAGUGACACAAAAGUACAAAGUUGCAAAAGCAAUUGAGAAUUAAAGAAUUGGAAGAAAAGCUAUCUGGAGCAUGUACAAACUGAUAUUAAUCUUUAAUAGGGCUGUCAAAAUUGAGAGCAACCAAAACAACUGCUGUGUAAUGCCCUCCGCUAUCUUAGUUUAAUUGGUCACAGGACUGCAUCACAACUAAAAUGUGUCAUUGUUUUCGAAAAGGCUCUGGGUUUGCUGUCCACACUGCAAAGUGAAAAUGGCAUUUUCAAAUGUAUCCAGUUUGGAGAGCAUUUUCAACCCUCUCAGUGUGGACGAAAGGCCGAAACGGAGAGAAAAAGAUGUUUUCAAACGAAAACGUAUUAGUGUGGACAUGGCCUGAAUUGCCUGCUCAGCAUGCAGUCAUGUUCUAUAGUCUUGCUAAUGACCUACUAAUUUUAUUCUGGUGUGUUGCAGCAGGGACACAUUUAAAAGUUUCAGGACACUGGCCCUCGAGUUUGACACCUGCGCUCUACAGGAAGCUGUGAGGCUGAUGCCGCCGGUCACACUUUAUGAAAAAUUGUGGUUCAGCGUCUGUCCACACGGGGGAGCUGCAGGAGGACUGAUAGACUGAAGAUCUGCUUUGUGGGCUGGACCUCUGCAGACACCAGAAUGAAAGCAGAACCUGCAUUUUGACUCUCACAGUGCCUCCCUGAGGUUUGACUGAGUCACAAUAGUUUAUGAUCCAGCUGCAUGUUGGAGGUCAAAGGUCAGCUGCUGGCUGUUAGAGGUCAGGUCUUUGGGUCAGUCUGAAUGUGACAAACACACUGCGUCACUUGCUGAGGAGUCGAGUCCCAGAUCAGUUCCAGACGCUAGCCCUCGAGCAGAGAGGGUUGGUGGUCUGUGCUGUGGCUCAAGUGCAGGUUGAGAUCACAAGAAGACCUGCGAGCUGCUGACGUUACACGUGUAUGACGAUGUGAAGAGAAGGAAGCUGAAUGCAGAGGUGGCGCUCUCCGCCUCUGCCGCCGGGCCAUGUUACACCACAGUUCAAGAGGUGGGCGAUGAACGUGUCACAGGUGCAACUCACCUGACCUGACUACACCUGAGUGUGUGGUCAGGUGAGUCUGAGGAGGACCUGUGUCCGUCACAUGUCUGCUGGGACUCUGCAGACACACACGUGUUGAUGCAGAUGUAAAAACCUCGAUGUUUGGAAAUGCUGAGCUGGAUUUGAUACAAACCUUCUGCUGUUUUUAUUUUUGUUUCAUUCUUUAUUUUCUGUAACAGAAUGAAAUAAAUCAGGUUACAUUGUUUUCAUUUGUCAGUGAUGACAGUCAUGCACCUGAGGGCAUCAUCAAACUGUUUUAAUCUGUCCCAAACAUUUGCACAGAUGUAACAUUAUCUACAGCUGCUCUCAGUACCACUGAUGUUAAUUUAGGGUCUUUCUCUCCAGCUGAUCUGAGUUAACUUGAUUAACUACCACCAGCUGCUUCAGCCUGUUCUUUUCUGUAAUUCCACCUUGUAUCACAUGGUGGUGCAGUGAGUCACUGUAACUUUCAUUUAAUUAGAGUUUAUUUCCUGUAAACAAAUAUUAAAUGAUUUCUAAUCAGUUGCUUAAAUCGCUCUGUGAUUAGGCAUCCACAUUGAGCUCUGACAGCUGUACAAAUAGCGCUGUUCCUGAAGUCACACUGUGGUAUUUUGGUAAAUGCAGAUUAUUUCUCUCAGUCCUGCAAACAGGAAGCCGAAAACAGGAUUUUCAGGUCAUUAACUGAAGCAUGAAAACGUGCGGCCUCUCCUACUUCCUGUCAAACAAGAAGUCUGUCUCCACAUAGGAUUCCAGGAGCUCGGGAAUCUGAUGGCGCAUCUCUGCUUUGAAUUCUCGGCUUUGUGACAACAAUCACAAACCUUCAGAUUCUGUUUGCUGUCUUGACCCCAAAAAAGAUGGCUGCCACACAGAGGUUUCUCGGUUUUGAUGGGGCUAAUGAUCAGGUUUUGCAAACAAACAGAAAGUCAUUUAUGGAGCUGAUCUUUAGACCCGUUGAGGAAAAACCUGCUGCAGACACAGACACAUGAUCUAAGAUGGCCGAGGUGCACUGGCACAACACAACCUCAGCCAGCAGAGAUGCUUAGGUCACUCAGCCUUGGCACAAACAUGGUGGUGAAGACAACAUGUGCAGGAAAGAGGUGAGCGGACGGCAUAGACCUUCCCAGCAAACACCUGUUUGAUCCAAAAUAAGACGGAACAAUGAGACUGUCUCACGGGUUGUUCACCUGCUGCUGCACGAUGUAAAGCUCAGGGCUUCACUGUGCAACUGGUUGUUGAGAGCUCAGCCUGAUGUCCAAUAACGACAGUCUGCUUACAGGAAGUGGAUGAAUCUGUAAUCUGGUGCUCUGACCAGAGAGGAGAUGACUGUGGACUCCAACACUGGUCUGCCCACAGAGAGACUCCAGCUUUCUAAUGUUUCUGUUGAUCUGAAUGAUUAUGGUAUUUUCAUAGGUUUUAGUUUAAUGAAACAAAUCA
ensembl:lncRNA